AUUGCAAAAGAGUGGCGAACGGGGUGAGUAACACGUGGGAAACCUACCUCUUAGCAAGGGGAUAACAUUUGGAAACAGAAUGCUAAUACCGUAUAACAAUAGCAACCGCAUGGUUGCUACUUAAAAGAUGGUUCUGGCUAUCACUAAGUAGAUGGUCCCGCGGUGCAUUAGUUAGUUGGUGAGGUAAUGGCUCACCAAGACGAUGAUGCAUAGCCGAGUUGAGAGACUGAUCGGCCACAAUGGGACUGAGACACGGCCCAUACUCC
rnacentral:rRNA from 1 species